GAUGAAGGAACGCAGCGAAAUGCGAUACGUAAUGUGAAUUGCAGAAUCCAGUGAAUCAUCGAAUCUUUGAACGCACAUUGCGCCCGCCAGUAUUCUGGCGGGCAUGCCUGUCCGAGCGUCAUUUCAACCAUCAAGCCCGAGGCUUGCGUUGGGGCUCUGCGACCGCCGCAGUCCCCUAAAUACAGUGGCGGUCUCGUCGUCUACCGAGCGCAGUACUUCUCUCGCUCAGGGAACGCGACGGGUGCUGGCCGUGAAACCCCUCAUCAUCAAGGUUGACCUCGGAUCAGGUAGGAAUACCCGCUGAACUUAAGCAUAUCAAUAAGCGGAGGA
rnacentral:misc_RNA from 1 species